AAGACAUGCCAACGAUAACGAAAUGGCUAUGGCCGCUUAAAUAAAAGCAGCCCAUCGGCCCGGGAAGCCCACGUCCCGGCCAACCGGUGUCAUCAAGUGGGAUCACCCUUCGGAACCUGGCUCCGGGGUUCGUAGGGGAAAUUCAACGGGCUAGCCCUCCGUCGCCGCUCCGAUGCGGCGGACAAGGCGAAACCAAAUCGGAUGCGACGCUCGUACAAUCUCACGGACGACGCACUUGCGGACGCGGGUUCGAAUCCCGCCGCCUCCACUA
rnacentral:tmRNA from 1 species